UGUGUAUGAGUGUUGUGUCUGCACGUAUGUCUACACCACAUGUGUAUAGUAACCAUGGAGAUAAGAAGAGGGUGUCAGAGUCCCCAUGAGUGGAGUUUCAAAGAGUUGUAAGUCACCAUGUUGGGUACAGGGAUUUAAACCCAGUCAUUCAGAGGAGGGGCCACUUCGCUUGGCUACCUUGACAGCCUGUGGUUUUUAUUUGGGUGCUGGAUGGGUACAGGUGGUAAGGAGAAAAGCAGGUCAGUGUGGAUUCACCUCAGCAGGAAGAUGAGGUCUUAAGAAGCCUGCUGGCUGAACCAAGACUGAAGGCUUAAUUCUAAACUCAAGAGAUAACCCUCUGGUCACAAAUCAUUCAGAUUGGGCCACAUUCCCAAGCUGCAGAGCUCUGGGAUCUGUAACUGCAAUAUGACAUUAAGAACAGUGAGUCCAUGAACAGAUGCCCUGGUGAUGAGCCUAGGCCUGCAACGUUGCAGCUGUUUAAUUUAGGACAAGUCACUUCCUCCUGCUCUAGUUUCUUUUUCUAGACUGGCAUAACUCUACUUCACAUACAGAUGAGGAAACUUGGUGAGUGACAGGCACAUGUUUCAUCUCUUCACUGCACCCUGAUGCAUUGUUUUUAUGAGUGAGCUAUGAAGAUCUCACUUACAUAUCCAUUGUCAUCAGGCAACCAUUGAGAUAAUGAAUAUGGUUAUGAAGCACACACUGCAUUCCGUGUUGAGGGUACAAAGGUAAGUGAGUCACUGUUUCUGCUCUUGUGGGACUCUGCCAAAGAGGAAGUGACAGAUUUUGCUUUUGUUAUGAAUUUGAAUCCCCCCCGACCCCCAUUGCCUUCACUUGGCCUUAAGAGUGUACUUGUUAUACGGCCUGUGCCAAGUAGGCCCUACACGAAGUUAGCUGAGACAGAGCCUUUGCUCUUUGCGUGUUUACACGUCUUGACAGACAUAAUAGACCUACGGAGAUGACUAAUUAACCAUAUGGGUGAUGACAAAUGUUCUCAUUAACUCCAACAACCCACUAAUUCAGGAAUCUCAAAAUCUGAAGAAUAUCAUCAAUCCAAUAAGU